AGUCAAAAACCUGGCGGACCAGUGAAAAAUCAAGCCAACUGGUCCUGCUGGCCAGUUGAAAAAAAAGUUGAGGGCAACCCCUGUUUGCUCUGCAAAGCAGUUAACACGGACAGUUUUGUGAAAAGUUUUGUGACUGUUAUGAAUCUCCCUGUCAAAAUUCUUUUGUUUUAGGUGUUGUGAUCUUGCUCAUAAGUAUUGAUAUAUCGAUUACUGUUACAGGGCCUUAGCUCAAUUGCUAUGCGCCAAGCAGAGCAAUCACUCAGCGGAGAGCAUUGGGGUGUAUCUACGUAAAGUGAAGCAAGCUAUCUCCACAACGGCAGCUCGAUUCUCUGGAUUUAUGCAACACGAUGCGCAAGAGUUCCUCUGUCAGUGCCUGGAUCAACUCAAAGACGACACCGAAAGGGCCAACAAGAGGGCGCUAAACUCCCCCUUGGACGAGACCCCAGGGACGGAUGAUGAUAAAAUUAAACUGAGGUUUCGCUAUCCGCACGACUGCCCGAUUGUCAAGAACUUUGAAUUUGAAGUCAUGCACUCUACGAUCUCUCGCUGGACAUGCCCAGAAGGAGUCAUUCUAACCCGAUCGGGUCGAUCCAGACGGCACUGGAGCAGUUCUUCAGAGAGGAGGGUAUAGAGUAUGCCUGCGGAGAAUGUGACUGCAAGCAGGCUAUAGUCACGCAUAAGUUCACUAAGCUACCAAGUAAACAACCAAGGCAAACCAUUCUCCUGGAAAGUAACACAGACUCAGACGAUGACGAGACCCAAAAAGUCUUAGAGAUGAGUAAAAAAGAGUCGGAGAGAAAAAAGCGAGAGGCAGAUGAGAGGUUGCGGCUUGAGGAAGAAGAAUUGAAAAAGGAAUCCUUGAGAAGAUGACACUCUGAGAUGUGCAGGAAGAUGUGUGGGGAGGCAGCCUACCUGCAAGGCCUCACCUGAAAUGGCUGCUGAAGAGACACGCGUACAUAAAGUGCCGUAGAAGCUUUACUGAAAUUAGUGAAAUAUGCCAUCAUCCUGCAAUACACACAUGGUCUAAAAGAGAAAUGACAAGACAAGCACAUAAGAAAAUGAGAUGAUGGAAAACCUCUUUAGUUGUUUGUGUUCUGCUCAGAUGUUGCCUAGCGACAAGGGAUGCUCAGUACUUUGAUAACAUCUUCUCCACAUUGGGAGAGAUUGAAAGAGAACAGGUGAUGAGGAGGGUGACUCCAGGAAUGCGGCCCCAUUACAAUGUGAGUAUGAGGCGACCACGGACACAUGUUUAUGCCAGACUGCAACACUGUACUAAUGAAACUCAAUGCAUGCAUCAAGGACAUUCACCAAAGAGCCACUGCAAACAAGAUGAUGCUUAAUGCUGCAAAGCAUUGGUUCUUCAUUUUACAUCAAGAUUUUCACAACAGCCACUUCCAGUCAUUUCCAUCAUGGUUGGUGAUGUGAAACCACUCAACGAAAGCCAGAAAUCUCUGUGCAGUCAUGGAUGAACAUCUACAUGUAUCACCGAAGGCCCAUGUCUCUACCCUAUAUGCCGCUCUUAAAUUACUGUCAUCCAAAGAUGUUUUAAAUUUAGAAAAUAAUGAUCCACACAAAUACACCUGGAAAUUGUUUAGUUUUCCUUGGCCGUC